UGGGGGAUAUUGCACAAUGGGCGAAAGCCUGAUGCAGCGACGCCGCGUGGGGGAUGAAGGCUUUCGGGUUGUAAACCUCUUUCGCUAUCGAACAAGGCCCGCUUAGGGUGGGUUGAGGGUAGGUGGAGAAGAAGCGCCGGCUAACUACGUGCCAGCAGCCGCGGUAAUACGUAGGGCGCGAGCGUUGUCCGGAAUUAUUGGGCGUAAAGGGCUUGUAGGCGGCUUGUUGCGCCUGCUGUGAAAACGCGGGGCUUAACUUCGGGCGGGCAGUGGGUACGGGCAGGCUUGAGUGUGGUAGGGGUGACUGGAAUUCCAGGUGUAGCGGUGGAAUGCGCAGAUAUCUGGAGGAACACCGAUGGCGAAGACAGGUCACUGGGCCAUUACUGACGCUGAGGAGCGAAAGCAUGGGUAGCGAACAGG
rnacentral:rRNA from 1 species